UACGUAGGGUGCGAGCGUUUAAUCGGAAUUACUGGGCGUAAAGCGUGCGUAGGCGGUUCUCCAAGUCCGUUGUGAAAGCCCCGGGCUCAACCUGGGAAUGGCAGUGGAAACUAGGGGACUGGAAUCUGGCAGAGGGGGGUGGAAUGCCGCGUGUAGCAGUGAAAUGCGUAGAGAUGCGGAGGAACACCGAUGGCGAAGGCAGCCCCCUGGGCCAAUACUGACGCUCAUGCACGAAAGCGUGGGGAGCAAACAGG
rnacentral:rRNA from 1 species